rnacentral:rRNA from 1 species
GACAGAGGUGCCAAGCGUUAGGCGGAAUCACUGGGCUUAAAGCGUGUGUAGGCGGACUCGUAAGUACCUUGUGAAAUCCCACAGCUCAACUGUGGAACUGCUCGGUAUACUGCUUGUCUUGAGCCACUUAGGGGCUGUCGGAACAAACGGUGGAGCGGUGAAAUGCGUAGAGAUCGGAAAGAACACCAACGGCGAAAGCACUCUGCUGGGCCGACACUGACACUGAGAGACGAAAGCUAGGGGAGCGAAUGGG